UUCUUUCUUCCUUUUUCAUUUUACUUUAUUAUUAUUUAUUAUUUUCUUGUCGGUCGCCGGCGGCUCUCGGGUUCUCACCCGCGUGCUCGGAAUCGAUCGGCUGAGUAGGGUUUUCCUCUUACGAUUUCCACCUCCACCGCCGGAGUCGGGUCCAUUUCACCGAGAUUGAGAGCUGAACUGCGUCGCCGAGGCUUCGAAUCGCGCGUUUUCCAGAAGGAGGUGGCGGCGGCGAGUGACGCUGAUGAUUUUUGGAUCUCGCUCAGAUGACGAUGAUCUGGAACUUGGCUUGAGCGAGAUGUUCUUGAGCCGGCCGGCGGUGGGGGCCUCGGUCUGCGCCUGCUUCAGUUCGCGUUUGGAGUCGCUCCGCUUGGCGUCAUGGUCUCCACCAACGAUUUCUCCUCCGUUAUUGCCUUCUGAGUACCAAAUCUACUCUUCGGUCGGUGGAUCGACCCAGCGGCCGUGGUCCUUUAUGAGCUGGAUUAGAGCAUCAGUUGCUCCCUCCAUUGCGAUGCCUCUCUUCAGCACAGUCUGAUACAAAAAUAAGAAGAAAGAAACAUGAUAUGAGUUUUAGUCAGUCAUUCCUAAACAGCAUCAACAAUGGCCAAGGAAAGUGAAUUGAAAGCCUUGAAGCAAGUUAAAGGAUGUAUUCCUUAGGAACUCAAACUCCUGCUCAGGAGCCUCAAGUAGGAUACCAUCUCCAAGCCCAUCGACUAAAAGAGAACCAGCAUUGCUCCCAGCCGUGAUCACCAGAUCGUCUCUGUCAAUUGCAGAACAACAAUGUGAAUGAACAGAUAUUUUCCGCUUACAACCUUCAAUAGGUUGUUAUCAAGAUUGCAAUCUCACCCGUCGAUCCCUUUAGGAAAUUGGAUAUGGUGGAUAACGGGGAAGUUAAGUGAACUUUCUUCUAGAUACUCAAACAACCUGAUAGCAGUAAAGAAAUUUGGAUUCAUGUCAAAGGAUGUACUAUUCGUCUUGAUAAUUUAUAGUCGCUAGCAUCACUUACCUCCUUGCUGCAUGAACUCGGCUGAGCUUCUCUUCGCUCAAUGGAACAUCAUGUAGUAACAUUGUGAUAUUAUCAACAUUCUUGAUGAUGUCUAGCUCCUCAUAUGGUUCAUCCCCGCGAAUAGUUACAGCUAACCGAGUAUCUAGAAAACAAGCACAUCUUUGAAUUAGAACAGCAUUGUGACAAAGAAGCAUGGAAUUGAAUGAUAAAAUAUGUCACCUCUUGGCAAAAGCUUGUGAGCACCAGUUGAAAGUUCGUCGAGGUUUACAAGGACAAUUGCAUUAGGAAGUGGUUUCUCCAGCUGCUCGGAUAACGGAACUAUGACACCCAUGCUUAUAUCGAUCAACCUUUUGAGAGCCAACCUCUAAUCAAAGCUUCAACAUCAUCUAGAGGAGGAAGUUCUCUCAAAAGAAUAGAGUCCACAGUUGCCAGGUCCUGAAAAUCUCAAAAGGUUAAGGUGAUUCUUUGGACUAGUUUCAAGCAUAGCAUUUGCAAUUCAGAAUCACAAACCUUGAAAGGCAUUCCAACCACAAGCUUUGCAGCAAGAGACUUGUAAAGAAGCUCCGGAGUCUGACAAAAGAAAUUAGCAACGCGUGACGAACGGCAAAAUAGAUGCAAAUAUAACAAAUGGGGUUGUUAGAUGUUCAUGAUAUUAAGAGAUGACAAUGAUAAACCAAACUAAGCAUUGAAUCUGCAUGAUGCUAAUAUGUGGUGUGAAGGUGGAGUGAUGAGUAUUCAGCUCAUGGUUCAAACUUUGACGGAUCAGGAAAACUGGAGACUAAUUCAAUUCAUCAAGUUGUGUUUUUCAAAACCACAAGAAAUCACUCAGAAUUGUCGGGGCCAAGCGUAGACUGAAUUUGACGAUGCCGACAUUGCCAUUCAUUUUCUUAAUAUUACCAAGUGCAACACUACUGUAUAAGGUAUCCGAUUGGCUAUCUACCUUGAGCAGGUCCAAGGACACUGGCAUAAGAACAGAACCAUCACGAUGAAGAACUCCACGGUAAUCCACUUCUUCACCCUAUCAAAAGAAGUGGCAAAUUUCAGAAACUUUUCUAUGGAUGUCGAUGCAAUGAACCAAAGACAUAAUACUAAUAAAAGAUUGCUAACCUCUAUCUGCACUGGAAGUUGACCUGUUCUUCGCUGGAAGUCAAAAUACCUUCUAUGUUUCUCCUCAAAAGGUGCCUAAACAUUUUUGGGAGUCACAAAGUUAGUUUUGAGCACAAAAACCAUUAGACAAUUGCGCUUAGUUGGAAUGACACAUACAGUUCCUUUCUGAAGAUUUGAAGCUUGCAUUCCAAGGUUAGCCAACCGCUUACAAGGAUCAAUCUCUUUCUCCGGUGGUUCUGUCAAAGACACCCUGAUUGUAUCGCCCAAACCAUCCUGUUGAGCAAUGCAACCGAUGUUAGAGCAUAUUAGCUUCACAAAAUACGCAGGCAUUCUGGAAAAUAAAGGACUUUGAAAAUUACAGACCUGAAGAAGUGUGCCAAUACCGAUUGCGGAUUUCAUCCUUCCAUCUUCUCCCUCUCCAGCUUCAGUAACUCCUAAGUGGAGAGGAUAAUCCCAACCUUGAGCAUACAUCUCAGUAACAAGCAACCGAUAGGCUUGAACCAUGAUAACUGGGUUACUCGCUUUCAUUGAGAAUACAAAAUUAUGGAAGUCUAGCUUCCGGCAUAUCCUUGCAAAUUCAAAGGCCGAUUCAACCUAUUGCAGAAAUAUAAAGUUUUUCAGCAUAGAUUUGUUUGAAGAACCAUGUUCGAUGUGUAGCUUAUGAACAAGAAUACUGACCAUUCCUCUUGGAGAAUCUCCAUAGUAGCUCAUGAUUCGAUCAGAAAGACUUCCAUGGUUUGUCCCAAUUCGGAUUGCUCGUCCAUAUUGCUUGCAUUUCUCAACCAAUGGAGUGAAGACCUGACCAGGUAGAUGAACAUUUGAUGAACUUCACAGGAUAGUAGGGUUCAGUAAUCUCAGAAGGAUUUCACGAGAAAUUCAUAAGUUUCAACUUUGAAUCAGAUUCAAAUGGGACUAUAAGUGGCAAUUAUCUGAACCUUUUCGAUGUGCUCAAGCUCUUUUUGAUAUUCAUCAUCACUAUACUCUAACUGCUCAAACUGUGCUCGCCUAUCAGCUGUAAAGAAAGUGUUUCAGUAUCAAUUCAAAGUCAACAGUAACUUUCUUCUUCAAAGUAAAAACACAAUAACUGACCAAAAUUUCCAGGAUUGACUCGAAUCUUGUCGAAACAUUCAGCUACCCUCAUCGCAAUUGCAGGUGCGAAAUGAAUGUCCGCCACAAGAGGAAUAUUAUAACUGGGUUCAACGGAAAUGAGAAUGAAUAUGCUAAUACGAGAAGGUUUUCUGAAGUUUCUACAUUUGCCACGUGAAGCAGCAAAGUUAAAAAUACGAGACCUACUUGUUUUGGACGAGUUUGUUCUUAAUUUCAAAACAAGAAUCCGAUUCUUUCCUCCCUUGAACUGUUAUUCGAACUAAAUCAGCUCCUCUAUCUGCAAUUCUCAUUACCUGGCAAGAGAACAUACUUAGUUUCAGAAACACUGUACACAGAAUAGCAUCUAGUCAAAAGGCUUAAUCUCUCAA